rnacentral:rRNA from 1 species
UACGUAGGCAGCGAGCGUUGUUCGGAGUUACUGGGCGUAAAGCGUGCGUAGGCGGUUUUGUAAGUUUGGUGUGAAAUCUCCCGGCUCAACUGGGAGGGUGCGCCGAAAACUGCAAGGCUGGAGUGUGGGAGAGGUAGGCGGAAUUCCUGGUGUAGCGGUGAAAUGCGUAGAUAUCAGGAGGAACACCUGUGGUGUAGACGGCUUACGGGACCAUGACUGACGCUGAGGCACGAAAGCGUGGGGAGCAAACAGG